AUUGAACGCUGGCGGCAGGCCUAACACAUGCAAGUCGAGCGGGGUUUUCGGACCUAGCGGCGGACGGGUGAGUAAUGCGUAGGAAGCUGCCCGAUAGAGGGGGAUAUCAGUUGGAAACGACUGUUAAUACCGCAUAAUGUCUACGGACCAAAGUGUGGGACCUUCGGGCCACAUGCUAUCGGAUGCGCCUACGUGGGCUUAGCUAGUUGGUGAGGUAAAGGCUCACCAAGGCGUCGAUCCGUAGCGGGUCUGAGAGGAUGAUCCGCCACACUGGGACUGAGACACGGCCCAGACUCAUACGGGGGGCAGCAGUGGGGAAUUUUGGACAAUGGGGGAGACCCUGAUCCAGCCAUGCCGAGUGAGUGAAGAAGGCCUUCGGGUUGUAAAGCUCUUUCGCGAGGGAAGAAAGCGUACUGGUUAAUACCUGGUGUGGAUGACGGUACCUUGAUAAGAAGCACCGGCUAACUACGUGCCAGCCGCCGCCGUAACAC
rnacentral:rRNA from 1 species